rnacentral:lncRNA from 1 species
AAGGUUGGCGGGGCUGGAGAAUUCCGGGAGACCCAAACGGGCCACGCCAGCCCAAGUAAGGAUCCGCCCUCCUCCUCCGCCGGAUUCCGGGGCUGGGGGUCAUUCGUCCCGCCGGUUCCCGAGCGGACGUGGGAGUUGUCUGCCCGCGGGGAGUCUGAGGACCGGGACACCCGCCCUGCUGCGUGCUCAACCUGGCCGUGGCCUUGGUGGCGGCACCGCCUUGGAGCCCCUGAGCCAGGAGAAGCGAGGGUUACGGGGGUGGCGGCAGGCGGGGAACCUGACACUCCAGGCGCCUGGUUGGGGAAAAGGCUGCGAGUGCGUGCCACUGCCAGAAUGUUGACAUCGCCUUGGAAAAAAUCCCAUGUUGGCCAGCUGGAAAAUAAGAUAUCAUGGGGAGGAGAAGCAAGGUGUCCCUGUUGACAACCCCACAAGCAGAACAUCACCCCCAGAAGCACAGCUGCCUAGUCAACGAGCAGCUGACGACACAUGUCUGAAGGAGCUCAGCUGAAACCAGAAGAAUGGCCCCACUGAGCCCAGCCUAAAUGGCUGACCAUCUCAAUUAUGAACUAAUAAGUUUUGGAUGAUUUGUUAUGCUGCAAUAGCUAACUAAUACAUGCACUCACUGCAGAUAGGAUGCCAGGAUUCAAUGACAGGUUGAUUACUAGUUAUCUUCUAACAGUGGGCACCCUAUAGGUACUGAUUUUUUCCCCUGAUUUAAAGUUGGGUGACUUGUAAGAGAAUGUUGAGUAAUGCAGAAAUACAGGUAGACAUGUAUGUAUGUGAUUGGUGCUUAUACCCACACACCCUCCACACCACAGGAAAAAACAGAUAACCAUACUCUGACAAUUAGGGCCAAGGCCAAAUAGCAAAAUAAGCUUGCUUUUAAUCUAUCUUCUCCAUAUCUAAGCAUUGGAGGUCAAGCGUGUGGACAGAAUUGAAGACACAGAGUUUUUUAUCCUGUGACCCCAACAUCCUUUGUUCACUGUCUGAUCUCUGGAAGAAAAGUGGACAACAGGUGGCCAGCAGUGGUCUACGUGCAGUUAUUUUAUUCCUGCUGCCACCUGCUCUUUUGAUGGCCACUAUCUAUUCCACCCUUAGAACUGAAGAAAGAUGUUGGUAGGGAGAGGCUCUGCCUUCACUUCUGGCAGAAAAGGAAUGUUCAGUUCAUUCACCCCCCUGACAUCAGAGCUGCACUUCAAUGUGGCAGCUAUUGGCCAUGUGUGCCUCCUGAGUGACUGGAAUGUGGCUGGUCUGAACUGUGAUGUGCUAGAAAGGUAAUAUACAGAGUUAGUUUCAAAUGUUUAUAUACAUUAUUAAUAAUUACACAUUCCUCACACAUUACAAUGAUAAUAUUAUGGACAUAUUGGGUUAAUUAAAUUGUUACAA